AACCUAGCACACCUGCGGUGUGUACCUGCGGAGGGAUCAUUACACAGUACAAUAUGAAGGCUGUCCGCAGCUGGAGUAUUUUAUUACCCUUGUCUUUUGCGCACUUGUUGUUUCCUGGGCGGGUUCGCUCGCCACCAGGACCACCAAAUAAACCUUUUUUAUGCAGUUGCAAUCAGCGUCAGUACAAACAAUGUAAAUCAUUUACAACUUUCAACAACGGAUCUCAGAUCGGAAGAGCAC
rnacentral:misc_RNA from 1 species